GACGAACGCUGGCGGCGUGCUUAACACAUGCAAGUCGAACGGAAAGGCCCUGCUUUUGUGGGGUGCUCGAGUGGCGAACGGGUGAGUAACACGUGAGUAACCUGCCCUUGACUUUGGGAUAACUUCAGGAAACUGGGGCUAAUACCGGAUAGGAGCUCCUGCUGCAUGGUGGGGGUUGGAAAGUUUCGGCGGUUGGGGAUGGACUCGCGGCUUAUCAGCUUGUUGGUGGGGUAGUGGCUUACCAAGGCUUUGACGGGUAGCCGGCCUGAGAGGGUGACCGGCCACAUUGGGACUGAGAUACGGCCCAGACUCCUACGGGAGGCAGCAGUGGGAAAUAUUGCACAAUGGGCGGAAGCCUGAUGCAGCAACGCCGCGUGCGGGAUGACGGCCUUCGGGUUGUAAACCGCUUUCGCCUGUGACAAAGCGUGAGUGACGGUAAUGGGUAAAGAAGCACCGGCUAACUACGUG
rnacentral:rRNA from 1 species